AACACGCUCCUUAGAUCCACCUCUGGAGGGCGCUGUGCUCUCAGCAGCUUUGUGGCUGUACGGUCAGAGGUGCUUGAGUCAUUGGCGUGUGAGAACAGUCCACCUGUCGCCCCAGCCCACCUGCAGCACUGGCAACCCUGUUGAACUGACUGGGAGACCCCAGUGCUGCGAGUCUGGGGGACGGACAAA